GGGGAAUAUUGGACAAUGGGCGAAAGCCUGAUCCAGCAAUGCCGCGUGUGUGAAGAAGGCCUUCGGGUUGUAAAGCACUUUAAGCAGGAAAGAAGGAGGUUAUAUUAAUACCAUAACCUUUUGACGUUACCUGCAGAAUAAGCACCGGCUAACUCCGUGCCAGCAGCCGCGGUAAUACGGAGGGUGCGAGCGUUAAUCGGAAUUACUGGGCGUAAAGCGCAUGUAGGCGGUUUGAUCAGUCGGAUGUGAAAUCCCCGAGCUUAACUUGGGAAUGGCAUUCGAUACUGUCAGGCUAGAGUAGGCUAGAGGGAAGGGGAAUUCCGCGUGUAGCAGUGAAAUGCGUAGAUAUGCGGAGGAACACCAAUGGCGAAGGCACCUUUCUGGGGUCAUACUGACGCUGAGAUGCGAAAGCGUGGGGAGCAAAC
rnacentral:rRNA from 1 species